CCAAUAGCGUAUAUUAAAGUUGUUGCAGUUAAAAAGCUCGUAGUUGAAUUUCGGGGUUAGUAGGUUGGUCAUGCCUCUGGUAUGUACUGAUCUCACUCAUUCCUCCCUCUUGACGAACUGUAAUGUCAUUAAUUUGGUGUUGCAGGAAAUCAGGACUGUUACUUUGAAAAAAUUAGAGUGUUUAAAGCAGGCUAAGGCUUGAAUACAUUAGCAUGGAAUAAUGAAAUAGGACGUUUGAUCCUAUUUUGUUGGUUUCUAGGAUCGACGUAAUGAUUAAUAGGGAUAGUUGGGGGCAUUAGUAUUCAAUUGUCAGAGGUGAAAUUCUUGGAUUUAUUGAAGACUAACUACUGCGAAAGCAUUUGCCAAGGAUGUUUUCAUUAAUCAAGAACGAAAGUUAGGGGAUCGAAGACGAUCAGAUACCGUCGUAGUCUUAACCAUAAACUAUGCCGACUAGGGAUCGGAUGAUGUUAAUUUUUUAAUGACUCAUUCGGCGCCUUACG
rnacentral:rRNA from 1 species